ACACGAACCCGACAAACGUUAUUCGGAAUUAUUGGGCUUAAAGGGUGCGUAGGCGGUGCGGUAAGUGAGGUGUGAAAGCCCUCGGCUCAACCGAGGAAUUGCGCUUCAUACUGCCGUGCUGGAGGGAGACAGGGGUAAGCGGAACUGAUGGUGGAGCGGUGAAAUGCGUUGAUAUCAUCAGGAACACCGGUGGCGAAAGCGGCUUACUGGGUCUCUUCUGACGCUGAGGCACGAAAGCUAGGGUAGCGAACGGGAUUAGAUACCCCGGUAGUCCUAGCCGUAAACGAUGAGCACUUGAUUGAGGGCCCCCCCAUAGGCUCUCGAUCGCAGCGAAAGUGUUAAGUGCUCCGCCUGGGGAGUAUGGUCGCAAGGCUGAA
rnacentral:rRNA from 1 species